ACAAGUCGCGCGCGCAUCAGCUCUGCCCUAGUAUUUCGCCAAGCUUUGCCCGUCUCCUUUAUCUGUAUUUUCUCAAAACACUAGUUGUGAAUCUGAUUGUGUGUGAAUCUGCUCAAGUUUCCAUCUCGCUCGUUUGAGAAUCCGUGCCUUGUUGAUGUUGCUGGAUAACACCUGAUGAAUUUCGACUGCUUUUGGAGUUUUGAAGAUUGAAGCUACAAGAAUGCAAGUUUGGAAGAUACACAAGCUCAUUAUUGUUUUGCUAGAAAUGUUAUGUAAAACUUGUUAUCGUUGUCUAACUCAGGAUGUUAGCUAAGUUUUUUGUUAAGAUGUUGAGCAAAUAUUGAAACUAACAUCAUGGGAUGUUUACAUUGUAAUUAAUAUCUUUUUAUAUCAAGACUGUUUAG